rnacentral:rRNA from 1 species
GACCAGACUCCUACGGGAGGCAGCAGUGGGGAAUAUUGCACAAUGGGGGAAACCCUGAUGCAGCGACGCCGCGUGAGUGAAGAAGUAUUUCGGUAUGUAAAGCUCUAUCAGCAGGGAAGAAAAUGACGGUACCUGACUAAGAAGCCCCGGCUAACUAUGUGCCAGCAGCCGCGGUAAUACGUAGGGGGCAAGCGUUAUCCGGAUUUACUGGGUGUAAAGGGAGCGUAGACGGCAUGGCAAGUCAGAUGUGAAAGCCCGGGGCUCAACCCCGGGACUGCAUUUGAAACUGUCAGGCUGGAGUGCAGGAGAGGUAAGUGGAAUUCCUAGUGUAGCGGUGAAAUGCGUAGAUAUUAGGAGGAACACCAGUGGCGAAGGCGGCUUACUGGACUGUAACUGACGUUGAGGCUCGAAAGCGUGGGGAGCAAACAGGAUUAGAUACCCCAGUA